GCUGGCGACCAGAUACCUGAAUGGUCUGAUGAGAAGGAAACGCCUUUUAUCCUUCCUCAUAACCAAAGGCGCGCGACAGUGGCGGCGGUGAUUCCCCUAUAGACAGCGACCAGAUGCUUGAUCGAAACCAUGAGAACUGCAACCACUCUCAUCCUUUCUCAUAACCACAAGUUGUUGAGGGAUGUGGCGUUUCGUUCAGAUUUGUUUCUGAUUAUAGCAAGCACAGGCAGAAAAGUGGGCACUUUGUUAAGUCACUUGACUGAGAUAAAACAUCCAUUUGCCAUCAGAUUGUUUUUGUAACAAUAUGCACAUACGUAGCUAGUCUCAGGAUAUCAUGUCUGACUUGAUAUCUUCUGGUUAGGUGUAAAGUUAGGGAUAGAAUGGUUGUUUUGUAGGUUAUUGUAAUCCAAUGUAUCUGAAGGCGGUGAAA